rnacentral:rRNA from 1 species
GAUGAACGCUGGCGGCGUGCCUAAUACAUGCAAGUCGAGCGAACAGAUGAGGAGCUUGCUCCUCUUACGUUAGCGGCGGACGGGUGAGUAACACGUGGAUAACCUACCUAUAAGACUGGGAUAACUUCGGGAAACCGGAGCUAAUACCGGAUAAUAUAUUGAACCGCAUGGUUCAAUAGUGAAAGACGGUUUUGCUGUCACUUAUAGAUGGAUCCGCGCCGCAUUAGCUAGUUGGUAAGGUAACGGCUUACCAAGGCAACGAUGCGUAGCCGACCUGAGAGGGUGAUCGGCCACCCCGGAACUGAGACACGGUCCAGACUCCUACGGGAGGCAGCCGUAGGGAAUCUUCCGCAAUGGGCGAAAGCCUGACGGAGCCCCGCCGGGUGAGUGAUGAAGGUCUUCGGAUCGUAAAACUCUGUUAUUAGGGAAGAACAAAUGUGUAAGUAACUAUGCACGUCUUGACGGUACCCAAUAAGAAAGCCACGGCUAACUACGUG